UGGACUUGCUCCUGAUGUUACGGCGGACGGGUGAGUACACGUGGGUACCUGCCUGUAAGACUGGGAUAACUCCGGGAAACCGGGGCUAAUACCGGAUGCUUGUUUGAACCGCAUGGUUCAAACAUAAAAGGUGGCUUCGGCUACCACUUACAGAUGGACCCGCGGCGCAUUAGCUAGUUGGUGAGGUAAUGGCUCACCAAGGCAACGAUGCGUAGCCGACCUGAGAGGGUGAUCGGCCACACUGGGACUGAGACACGGCCCAGACUCCUACGGGAGGCAGCAGUAGGGAAUCUUCCGCAAUGGACGAAAGUCUGACGGAGCAACGCCGCGUGAGUGAUGAAGGUUUUCGGAUCGUAAAGCUCUGUUGUUAGGGAAGAACAAGUACCGUUCGAAUAGGGCGGUACCUUGACGGUACCUAACCAGAAAGCCACGGC
rnacentral:rRNA from 1 species